rnacentral:lncRNA from 1 species
AGAGAGAUAGCUUCAUCUUGUAAAAUUCAAAUUUUUACAACACAAGGAUACAAACUACAAUGGAUGUGUAAGCUAAAGACAGCUUCUUUUUGUUUUUAAAUAUUUCUAAACUUUAAUCUUUGCUUCAUAAUGAGGAUUUAUUUUGAUGUGAACCCAACUGGCGAAGCGCCAGUAGAAAAAUUUUCAUGUGCCAAUUUCUUUUAAAGAAGUUUUCUUGCUGUCGACUAGAGGAUUAAAUGAUAUAUCCUCAUAAGGCGCGACGAGAUCUAGGUGCACUUCUUUGUAGAAAACUAUACCCUCACAAAAACUCUUGGGGUUCUUCUGCUGGUGUUACGACUACCCUUCCUCCUCAAGGGCCUUCCACGGUGGAGUCUAAUCCAAUGAUCCCUUUGUCAAUUCGCCCGAAGGAUUUUACUUUUGGAAAAAGAAGGUGUUAGGUACUGAUAAUCAUCAGGAAUAUCAUGUCUACGAUUGAAUUUUUUUUUUGUGAUUGAAAAUUUAUUAAAUUCUAUGUUAU